rnacentral:rRNA from 1 species
AGAGGUCUCAAGCGUUGUUCGGAUUCAUUGGGCGUAAAGGGUGCGUAGGUGGCGUCGUAAGUCGGGUGUGAAAUUUCGGAGCUUAACUCCGAAACUGCAUUCGAUAACUGCGGUGCUUGAGGACUGGAGAGGAGACUGGAAUUUACGGUGUAGCAGUGAAAUGCGUAGAGAUCGUAAGGAAGACCAGUGGCGAAGGCGGGUCUCUGGACAGUUCCUGACACUGAGGCACGAAGGCCAGGGGAGGCAAACGGG